rnacentral:lncRNA from 1 species
CUUUGAUCCGGGGAACCCAGUGUUCAUACUAGUUUGUAAGACAAUAGCAGCUGCAAGUUAAACCUUGAAAUAAAACAUCUUCAGUGGUUCCCAUGGAAGUCAGCCUAAAAGAACAAUUACAAAAUAACCACCUCAUAAAAGAAGCAUACCCUAGAAAUCCUAGGAACAUCAUAUAAUAAGUGACAAUUCUGUAAGUGAUGAAAUUACAGGUUGCAAUUGGCAAAUACUAUGAACUUGAUAAAUAAUGGGCAAAGUACAAACUUAAAAUGCAGUAAAGUUAUGAGUAAACUGAAUACUAGUUCCUGACCUCUGAAUCAUGUCCCUUACCGAAAUACAUGUAUUGCAUUCAAAAGAUACAAACUUCAUUUCCUCUCAAGAACUUCAAAAUUGCUUACUUUUAUUUCUGAAGAGUUUUUGUUGUUUAGAAAGAUAAAAGACAAAAAGGAAAGCCAAUGCAAUCAACCAGAUCCCAGUCCACGGAACUGGUGGAUCCUUGAAACAUAUAAGGGACGCCUCCACUUCUUGGGAGGCAUGAUAGACAAGAGAGUGGAUGGCAUAUAGGUCGUGAUCUGAGGACCUCAAGUAAUACAAAGCCAUCUCAAAAUCCAAAUGUGACAAUGCAGAGACUGCUUUGUCCAGCUUGUACUUGAACAAGUUCCACCUUUGUACGAACUCAACAUGUCGACUACUUUUAAGGAGCUUUCUUUCCCCACCAUGUGCAGCUAUGGAUUCAAGAACAUCCACAGCACUUGUUAUGCUGUAAUUGAGUGAUGUCAAAAGAACAUUUCUACGAGCAGCAUCCUUCUGCACAAAUGACAAUGAUGAAACCUCAGAGAACGGCCCAAACGGAGUCUGCCCAACACUCCAUGUGUAAUCCACCAAUGUAGUAUUGUGCCUAGGGCUCCACAGCAUAUGGGUUGGUGACACUCCCCACAUGCUCUGUAAAAUCGAACCAACAAGUGGUCGCUCAAGCUCCCUUGUCUGUGUAAACACAUGACGCCCGUUACAGCUAUAAUCACUGACAGUCUGUGUGUUCUUCGUCCUGACUGCAAUGACCAUGUCUUUAAAAGCAACAGAUUGGUGAUACCUAUCGAGCAACAACAGCAUGCUAUAGUCCAAAUCAAACACAUAAACGGGAAGAACCCUACCGAAAUCCUCCUCAGGAAACCCUGCCACCCUCCUAAACUCCUCAGCUGAAUCAGACAAUAUCUGAUGCAAUCGCUUCGAGUCCAAAUACUCACUUGCAAUCAAAGUAUAGUUAUCAAACAAGAAUCUCGACGUAUACGAAUUGAUAGACCGAGAAAUUGCAAAUGAACAAAUUGGACACUCCGAGUAACUCACUCUAUAAGUCUUGAACCUCAAAGACUGAUCCCCCAACAACAACCCAUUAUCAUGGGCCUCAUCCAUAAACGAUCUCUCAAUCGAUUUCCAAUCCAAACCACUAGAAUCCUUACUGCCCUCAGAUCCAUAAACAUGAAUAAACUGAACAAUCAAUGAAUUCUCAAACUGAACAGGAAUUCUCAAAGAGGGCACAAGAAGAACCUGGUAAGCACUCCAAACCAAGGAAGCCAAGUCAGCAAGCAACGCCUUUUGAGCCUUGGGACGACCGUGCAAUGCCGCGAGAGGAUGAAACUCACCUCUGGGCAAAACCCCAUCACCGGAAAGAGCCGGGCCAUAAUCGACCGGGCCAGCACCCAAGUCAAUCCAGAUAUACCUGUCUUUGCCAGUCCAGAUGCUCCCCAAACACUUGGUGAAAGCAGCGGAAGAGUCCCCAGAUCCAUAGUUAUAAGCAUAAGGCUUGGACUGGGGACCCAAAUUCAGAAAAUACAAGUAAACCCCAGAAACGGGCUUCUCUUUCUCGAAGUCCUGCUUGAUGAUCUGGUCAAUCGGGUCGUAGGGGAUGGAGAGAAGCGGGGAUCGGAGGCUGGAAGGGGUUUUCUCGAGCUCAGAGUUUAGGGUUUUGGAGAGUUGGGAAGCUAAAGAGGGAGAGUGAGAGACGUCGAGGUGAAGAGAGUGCUGGACGGCGAGGCGGUGAGAGUGGGUUUCGUAGGGGGCGAUGACGUGGAAGUGGUUGGAGGAUUGGGAGGCCGAGAGGAAGGAGGAGAGGAGGAAGGCGGAGGAGGAGGGGAAGGAAGAGCCGACGAGGCGGACGUGGAGAGAGAGAGGGAGGGAGAGAGAGAGGAGAGAGGAGAUGAGGGAGUGAGGGGUGUGGGAGAGAGGGGUAGAAUGGGAAAGGGAGUUUCUGAGGGUGGAGGAGAGAGAGAGGAAGGAGUCGUUGGUGGCUUGACGGUCAAGGCGGGACUGGUGGGUCAGGAAGGUGUCGAGGCCAAGGAUUGGGGCGGAGCUGGUGGUGGUUAUGGCGGUAGUUAGGAUCAGAAGAAGGAAGAAGGCGGUGGUAAUGACCGCCAUGGUGGUCGUCGAGGUCUCUGUGACUUGGGACUGAGAUGAGCUCUGCGGUUUGGGGGUCUGAAGAAGCCAAUUUUUUUCUUUUUUUUCUUUUUCUCUUUUUUUUUUUUUGGAAAUGAAAAAAUGAGACAGUGUUUGAUGCCCGUCUUAUUUUCCAGCUCACUACAAACCCAACUUACACUGGAAAUUUUGCUUUUAUAAGAAGCACUUUUGUUCAUAAAUGUUUUUCUAGAAGUAGGUUUAUUAGAAUAAUGUUGAAAAGUCAAUUAUUUCUCAAAGUCUCGUUUGGGACUAUUUCUCUAAGAAGUAUUUCUGUUUAUAAGUGCUUCUAAUAAAAUCACGUUUAUUAUAAAAAUAUUGAAUUUCCAUUGAAAAAAAAUCCAAGUGCUUUAUAAAAAUAUUGAAUUUCCAUUGAAAAAAAUCUAAGUGCUUCAUGAAGAAGUACAUAGUAGGUGUUUCUCCAUAAAGUAUUUCUAAACUUUGUUGUCAAAUGCUGUCAAAAGUGCUUUUAGUCUUUCCAGAAACACUCUCAAAUAGCUUAGAAAAUGAUUUUUAAAGAAGCACAUACUAUAUUAGUCAAGUACUUCUUCGUAAAUUAUACUAAUUUAGAGUAUCGCUUGUUCUUGGGGUAAAAAAAUGUGAACCAAACUUGAACUAUCAAAAAUGCCCUUGUCAUUUAGUGGGGUAUAAUCGUCAUUUCAGGGUUGUUUCUGAGCUUCCUGUGAUAUGAAGCAAAACUUUGAGUGGACUGCUUGGGGGCUGAAAUGGGGUAAGCAUUGGCAUUUCAUUAUGAACAAAUAAGCAUUGGAAUUUCAAUAUGAACAAAUACGCAUUGGCAUAUCCGUAGGUAUAUUUAAAUCUAUAGGAUUUGCUUUUGGUGUUUGUGAAUUAUGGAAAUCUACUCAUUGAAUUGACUAGGAAAACCCUUCAAGAAUCGUAACUGGCACUAAAAUUUGAGGCCUCACCUCACAUAUGAGCAAAUCCAAAACCACAAUGACUUUUGGAUCUUUGGGAUUACCAAACAGAGUACGGACUUUGAAAUUUGUCUCAGAUGCUCCGAAAUCAUCGUCUCCUUUGUUGAUGUAAUAUUGUUGUGGCAACACAAAACAAAACAGCUUAAGGCCAAAACUAGCACACAUGUUAUAUAAUACAGUUGAGCAUCCUUCCAGUUCAAGCAACCAUAGGAACAAACAACAGAAUUGUAGAAAGCAGAGGAAAGAAUCCUGAGUGCUUAGUUAUUAUAGGAAAUGGAGAAGAUGAUGGUGAAGAAUGAAGAGAACACUAGGAGGCUCCGCUUGACCACAGUGGAUCGUGAGGCUCAGGAAUCACGGUGUGUCAAGAAAAGGAGAAGAGACCCGGCUGCAGUUGCGGUUAGUUGUGACAACAGCCAGAGUGAGCAGCAUUUCCCACAAAAACCAGCUGAUCAAACUUCUGCUACCACAACGAAGAGAAGUUCAAGAUUUCGCGGUGUCAGCAGGUUUGAAUCUGAAACAAAUUUCAGUGGUGUUAUGAUUGUUGUAGGCAGAAAUUUCUUCUUGUUUCAUGUGUAGAAAUAUUAAGGUAAACUGUUUGUCAACAGGCAUCGAUGGACUGGUCGAUUUGAAGCCCACUUGUGGGAUAAGCUCUCUUGGAAUGCAACGCAGAAGAAGAAAGGGAAACAAGGUAAAUAUCAUUGUUGCAUUUCUUUCACUCUGUUUAAUUAUCUAUUGCUUUUACUCCUGGAUGCUGAUAUCUGGUUCCCUGUGUUGUGUUCUAUUGCAUUGUGAUUCGGAAUGGAUUCUUGGGACUGAGCAGUUUAUCUUGGUGAGUAUAUUUUGCUACAUGGUUGAGUUUGUUCAGUUUGAGUCUUAAAACUUACUUGCUAAUUCUGUAAGUGAAACAUAUUAAUCUUUUAUUAAUCUUUGUGUUCUCAGGAGCUUAUGAUGAAGAAGAAUCUGCUGCAAGGGCAUAUGAUUUAGCUGCACUUAAGUAUUGGGGAACGUCAACUUUCACAAACUUCGCGGUAUGAACCUGAUCACUGAUCAGACACACAAUAUGUAGCUUGGUAGUAAAAGGGGUAAAAAUUCAUGAUCUCACACCUUGAUGCUGUUUACAGAUAUCAGACUAUGAGGAAGAAAUUGAGAUAAUGCAGACUGUAACAAAAGAAGAGUUUUUGGCCUCGUUACGAAGGUAGGACUUCAAACAUUUUUUGUUUUGUGUUGAAAGACUUCUGAACUGAGGAAUUUCCUUGGCCGGUGUCCUGAAAUGAUUUGUAUGUUUGUUUCAGAAAGAGCAGUGGCUUUUCAAGAGGUGUAUCUAAGUACAGAGGAGUAGCAAGGUAAUAUUCUUAUUAAUAUUGUGGUGAUCAAAUCAAAUCAACUUCUUUAAAAAAACUACAAACGAACAAACAGUUUCUAAAGACUAUUUGGUUCAUAAUUGCAGGCACCAUCAUAAUGGUAGAUGGGAAGCAAGAAUAGGAAGAGUUUUUGGAAACAAGUACCUCUACCUUGGCACUUACAGUAAGUUAUUUCUGCAUCUGAUUAUAACAUUAUGUAAUGUCCAAAAACUAGUUUGAAUAUUUGUGAAGUAUUUGUAAUUGAAAAUCAUAAAACAAUCAAUGUAUCAUUCAUUGCAGGCACCCAAGAGGAAGCUGCUCGUGCCUAUGACAUUGCAGCAAUUGAGUACAGAGGGAUCAAUGCUGUGACAAACUUCGACUUGAGUUCUUACAUAAGAUGUUUAAAGCCAAGAGCUGACGAUCCGAUAGCCACUCAAGAACCAGAGACAGUUGCAGAGCCUCAGAAUAUACCAGCAUUCAUGGCCAACAGCUACAUCCCAACAGAGGAGCCCUCAUUCUCACACACAAACCUUUUUGCCUCUGGUUACUUGAGCUCUCCUCAAAAGCAAAAAGUCACCAGAAGUAGCGUCCCACUUAACACUGGUAGCAAGUCAUCUUCUCCCACCGCACUUGGCCUACUCCUUCAGUCUUCAGUCUUCAGAGAACUGGUUCAGAAGAAUGCAAACUUCUCGGAGGAUGAAAGUACUGACGGUGAAGAAACGAAGAACCAGACACAGGUUGGUAGUGAUGAUGAGUUCAGUGGAAUUUUCUAUGAUGGAAUCCGCGACAACCCUUUUGUUUGCUCGUCCAACUCUGAUGGAGACAACUCAUGGAGCAGCAUUGCAAGCACCAUUUUGCUCAAUCAGCCAUCAAAAGCAAAUGCCUCCUCCUCGGACUCUCUAUUUUUCUUUUCUUAGAUGCAACAUGGGAAACAGAACUUGUUCAUGUGGAAGAAAUUUUGUGUCACUUGUAAAUAGCAGAACUGGCACAUCAGAAGUACAUAGCAUGAAACUGCAUAUCCAUGUAAAUUAAAUAACGUCGAGUAUUGGCUUGGCUGCAUGUAAAAUUCUUAAGAACAUCGAG